UUUUAAUUGAAACCAAAAUAGCGGUUUAUCACUGUUAAUGAUAAAAAUGAGAAUUACUCCAAUUAAA
rnacentral:tRNA from 1 species